GUACAAGGGUUCCCUAAGUGAACCUUCGGAAGGAUCCAUUAUGGAUUUUUAUGAAGGGAAAUUUGAUUUAAUGUAGAGAUUUUGGUUGGAGCUAGGGCCCUUCAAUUUAACUGUUUUCCCCCCCCCUGGGCACCUGUGCACACCUUUCUCUUUCAUCCACACACACCUGUGCACUUGUGAGACAGCAUUGGAGGACUUUAUUGGACUCCUUCUGUCUACUUAAUCCACAUAAACUCAAUUUAUUUUAAACUGAAUGUAAUUGAUGUAACACAUCUAAUACUAAGUUUCAACAACGGAUCUCUUGGCUCUCGCAUCGAUGAAGAACGCAGCGAAAUGCGAUAAGUAAUGUGAAUUGCAGAAUUCAGUGAAUCAUCGAAUCUUUGAACGCACCUUGCGCUCCUUGGUAUUCCUUGGAGCAUGCCUGUUUGAGUAUCAUGAAAUCUUCAAAGUUAAAAUCUUUUUGUUAACUCAAUUGGUUUCUACUUUGGUUAUUGGAGGUCUUUGCAGCUUCACACCCUGCUCCUCUUUGUGUAUUAGCUGGAUCUCAGUGUUAUGCUUGGUUCCACUCGGCGUGAUAAGUUAUCUAUCGCUGAGGACACUGUCAAAGGUGGCCAAGGGAAAUGCAGAUGAACCGCUUCUAAUAGUCCAUUGACUUGGACAAUACUUUUAUGAUCUGAUCUCAAAUCAGGUAGGACUACCCGCUGAACUAGC
rnacentral:rRNA from 1 species